UCGAGCGAAUGGAUUAAGAGCUUGCUCUUAUGAAGUUAGCGGCGGACGGGUGAGUAACACGUGGGUAACCUGCCCAUAAGACUGGGAUAACUCCGGGAAACCGGGGCUAAUACCGGAUAACAUUUUGAACCGCAUGGUUCGAAAUUGAAAGGCGGCUUCGGCUGUCACUUAUGGAUGGACCCGCGUCGCAUUAGCUAGUUGGUGAGGUAACGGCUCACCAAGGCAACGAUGCGUAGCCGACCUGAGAGGGUGAUCGGCCACACUGGGACUGAGACACGGCCCAGACUCCUACGGGAGGCAGCAGUAGGGAAUCUUCCGCAAUGGACGAAAGUCUGACGGAGCAACGCCGCGUGAGUGAUGAAGGCUUUCGGGUCGUAAAACUCUGUUGUUAGGGAAGAACAAGUGCUAGUUGAAUAAGCUGGCACCUUGACGGUACCUAACCAGAAAGCCACGGCUAACUACGUGCCAGCAGCCGCGGUAAUACGUAGGUGGCAAGCGUUAUCCGGAAUUAUUGGGCGUAAAGCGCGCGCAGGUGGUUUCUUAAGUCUGAUGUGAAAGCCCACGGCUCAACCGUGGAGGGUCAUUGGAAACUGGGUAGACUUGAGUGCAGAAGAGGAACAGUGGAAUUCCAUGUGUAGC
rnacentral:rRNA from 1 species